CCCCCCAUACACCUGGCCAAACCAAUUGCGAGUGAAUCCCAGCUGUCAGUCAUGACGUUUCACACUCUUUUUACAGCAUCAAAUAACUAAUUAAAACCAAACUUAUCAGAAAAAUGAAGACUCGAACAAACUGUGAGAUAAGAACUACCUAAAAUGACAGAAACUAUCUUUGGAAAAAAAUGUAUUUGACGUGUACUUUGAUUUUUUAGUUUGGCCCAUGUCCCAUCCGCUAACAUGGAUGGGGGAGGUUUAAGAC